UGUAGACUUCAACUCUGACAAGUCUGAAUCCCAGUGGAAACACAAGUUAGCCUCAAACUGAGAACCUCAUACUACACUCAGAAUAUGUUUUCAUGUUUCCAAAAUGUCACCAACAAUGAGAUGACAGGAACCUGAACCAAAAGGAUGAGAGUAGAGAUGGAAAGUAAAUGUUGUUACAAAGGCUAAAUCAGAAAUUUGUCCCAGAUCUAGUAUGGAUCAUGAAGAAGAAGAUAGAAUGAAAAAACACUCUUACCAUUCUGAGUGUCCAAAGCAGGAGGUGGUUCCUAAAAAUAUGAAGUUUGGGUAUCCUAUACAAUGAGGGAGGAAUGUGUAUCUUCAUUAUGUUCAAGUACCCAGAUAAAUAAGCCUGUUGUUAUAAAGGGGAGACAUGACAAGCUUUACGUGUUGAAAAUACAAAGAGCCUGACCCUACAGGAAUCUUUCUUUCCGGCCUUUUUCAUUGUGAGUACAUGCUUUCGAUUUUGAUCAUGGUUAAAUAAAAAAUAUUUAAAUUAUAAUUUCUAUCCACAAGGAUAUAAUUUCUAUCCACAAUUUCUAACCAACAAGAGUCCCUGUGACUCACCUGACACAGAAGUUGGGAAACUUCAAGUUGAUUCCCAGGCCUAAGUAUGGAACAGUCUUUAUCACCUUCCAAAAUUUAGCCUGUCCACAUUUUCUUGUGCUGCAUAAGCCCAGCAUCCCAAUAUAAUCCAAUAGAGAAAAAGAAACUGAUGCUGAAAUUCUCAUGGGCUUUGAUGAGCAGAAGCUUGGUAAUAGAAUUAAUUUGAUUUAGAAAAAUAAAGAAACAUGACAUUUAUUAUCCCUAGAGAUUUAUAAAUUGAUUCAAACUUAUCAUU
rnacentral:lncRNA from 1 species